GUUCAGCACAGCGCUCGGCACAUGGGAGGUCCUGAAGAAAUACCGCAGAUCGAGCGAUCAAUCCAUCCAUUAAUUGACUGAAAGAGCAGGGGAGAAGGGGAAGGAACCCUCCUGAUAAAAAAAACCCAUCGUGUCCCCGAGAGUCGGGAAAGACGAAGCAGGCCGGCGAACAACAGGUUUCGUUCCGAUGUCGGAGGGCUAAUUCUCUCGGAAAACAAGCCCGCAAAUCAAAUGUCUCUUUGAAUUAAUACGAAUCCCUCCCCGGCAAUUUGGGGCCGUCGUAAUUUCGCGUCGAUGCGACUCAUUACGCCGGUUUUAAAAAUUAAACCCCGGCCAAAAGAUAACAUAAAAAAAAUAACGAUCAGCUGAAGGAAUCCAAGUCGUCGAUAGUGCCUGUGAAAUUCCAGGAAUCCGAGCGCGGCCUAAGAACCUGAGAGCCGGCGGACCCGGGUUCCAAUCGCAAUCCCGCCGCUUACCCGUUGGGUGACCUCGGAUCUGCAAAUCUGGGUCCCCUAAAGAGUCGAGAGAGCGCAGGACGAACCCAAAUCAACCCUCGGAUUCCAACGGUUCGGCAAAAGCCCUGACGGUGCUUAAUUAGGAGACAAAUCCCAACAUCUACUACCUGCCUGCUGUGUGAC